GACUGGUUUUGUGGAGUUCCGCCGAGGUCCGCAGGCCAUUCCUUCCCUCGACAGUCAUGUCCGCUGAGCAUCGCUACCCACCAGAGCCCGGAGGGAGGGAGGAGAGGAGCUCUGUGUCCUGGGACCAGGCCCAGCCUCAGGCACCCCACCAGCCACAGACGAGGCCCUUGGAGAAGCCCGUGAAUCGCCCCUCGAGUAUUGACGCCGAGAUCGACUCUCUGACCAGCAUGCUGGCCGACAUGGAGAAUAACUCGCCAUUCCAUCCCCGGCCCAGACAGAAUUACGACAGCGGCAUCUCUCCAGGCCUGGCCUCCUAUCAUUCCCAACCGGCCAACAUUCCACCCAAACAGCUGCCUGCGUACAAACCUCUGGCCCAGCCGUCUGUCACCAUGGCCACGAAGGCACCCGGGCAGCCUGAGGCCUUCUCCACCUCCAGGCCGGUUGCCUAUGGCAACGCCUCCUCCCACCCUCCGGCCUACAGCAGCGCCGCCCACCCAGGGGCCUACAAUGCCUCCCCGCCCCAGCCCGCGGCCUACACCUGCGCCCCUGUCUCGAGGCCGUACCCCCAGCCGGUGGCGGCCUCCUACACCACAGCCUCGACGUCCACCGGCCCCACCUUCAACGUGCAGGUCAAAGUAGCCCAGCCGGUGCCCAGUUACACCCAGCCCGGCCGCCAGGCCGAACAGGCCUAUGGGCCUCCUGCGCCUCGACAGGGCACUCCGGCCUAUGCCCACCAGCACCCCGAGCCGGCCUACCGAGCCCCGCAGCACAGGUACCCCGAGCCUUCCUACGCCUCGGGCCCUCAGGCCCCGGAGGCUGCUCCGGCCUCUCCGAGCUGGUAUCCGCCCUCCCCCUUGGCCGGAGGCCCCGCCGGCCACCCAGAGGCGCCCUACGGCCCCGAGGGGAUGUACGGGGGUGUCAGGAGGCCGGACCUCUCCUUCUACAGUGGUGGACCCAAGCCGUCAGGCCAGUACCAGCCCUUUGGCACCAAGAAGAGCGGUUACAGCGAGGAACUGCCACCUCCACCACCACCCCCGCCCACUGCCAGCAGUCACCUCCCAAAGGCUCCUUAUGGGCCUCCUGUGGGGGGUCAGACACAGACCAACAGGCCGGAGGAGGAACUCGAUCGAAUCACCAAGAAACUGGUCCACGACAUGAACAACCCUCCGUCCGAGGAGUAUUUCGGUCGCUGUGCUCGGUGCGGUGAGAAUGUGGUGGGAGAUGGAACAGGCUGCAUCGCCAUGGACCAGGUCUUUCACGUUGAGUGUUUCACCUGCAUGACCUGCCACUGCCAACUGAGGGGCCAGCCUUUCUACGCCAUCGACAAGAAAUCGUACUGCGAGUCCUGUUACAUCAACACCCUGGAGCAAUGUUCGGUCUGCUCCAAGCCCAUCAUGGACAGGAUCCUGAGAGCCAUGGGCCGUGCCUACCACCCACAGUGCUUCACCUGUGUUGUCUGUCACCGGUGUCUGGAUGGGAUCCCCUUCACUGUGGACGCCACCAGCCAGAUACACUGCAUCGAGGACUUCCACAUGAAGUUUGCUCCACGCUGUUCUGUCUGUGCGAAGCCCAUCAUGCCUGAGGCCGGUCAGGAGGAGACUGUAAGGAUCGUCGCUCUGGAUCGCAGCUUUCAUGUGAACUGUUACAAGUGUGAGGACUGUGGAUUCGUCCUGUCGUCGGAGGGAGAGGGGUGCGGCUGCUACCCAUUGGACGGUCACAUCCUGUGUAAGACCUGCAGCUCGCGAAGAAUUCAGGACCUCUCAGCAAAGAUCACCACCGACUGCUAACUGCCCUCCUCUCUCUGCAACUGGGGCCCAGAAUCCCACACCGAGAGAGAGAGAGAGAGAGACAGGGAGAGAGAGACAAAGACAGGGAGAGAGAGACAGACAGACAGAGA